rnacentral:lncRNA from 1 species
GAACAGGCAGCGUCUACACACCAGCAGGCCUGGCACAGACUUACAGGAAACAAUGUUAACCCCAGGAACAAGAGGGAAGACAGGAGCAGUGACCCAGGAACUUGAGGGCUACUGCAAAACAGCUCUGGAGAAGUGCCACACCACCCAGGCAAGGGGAAGAGGAGGAACAGGAAAGAAUGUGUCUUCUUCCUCCGGGCCUGCUGCAGCCCCGGGGAGAUCCUGAAAGAAAAAGUUCCAGUGAGCAUGGCUUCAGAAGAAAGCCCAGCACGUGAAGCGAUCCAUUGGCAGAGCCAGCCUUCUGAACAGGUGGCGGGACAGUCAACUAACAGCUGUAAGCCUCACACUCAAAAGGCUUCUUUGACCCACACCCUAUCCCCAGCUUUGAGCACCACAGUCUCCCAAGAUAAAGAACAUCACUGCUUCCAUUCACUGAAAACAAUAUUUCUCAAAACCAUCAAAUGCAACCCAGGACAUUCUAGACACGGAAGGCAACAGGCCCGGUGAAAUGUAAGCCUUGGAACAACUGAGUACUCUGGAGUGGUAUCAGCUCCUGUGUGUGGGAUCCCAAAAGGCCAUGGCCCCCCGUGAAGCUUAUUGUUUUGCUAGGGCCACUGAGACAAAGUACCAUAAACUGAGUGGCUUCAAC